GACGGAGGAUGCAAGCGUUAUCCGGAAUUAUUGGGCGUAGAGCGUCCGCAGGUGGACAUACAAGUCUGCUGUCAAAGUGCAGAGCUUAACUCUGUAAAGGCGGUGGAAACUGUAGGUCUUGAGUAUGGUAGGGGUAGAGGGAAUUCCCGGUGUAGCGGUGAAAUGCGUAGAGAUCAGGAAGAACAUCGGUGGCGAAGGCGCUCUGCUGGACCAUAACUGACACUCAGGGACGAAAGCUAGGGGAGCGAAUGGG
rnacentral:rRNA from 1 species